rnacentral:rRNA from 1 species
AGUAACCUCAGGGAACAAUAAUGAUUUUUAUCUCAGUGUGUUAAGAUAUUAUUGUAAUGUUGAUUAGCUAAAGCUAAUUACCCUUGCAUAACGACUUAAGGUGGUUAUUGCGGCGGGGCUCACCUCUUCCCAUUCCGAACAGAGAAGUUAAGCCCGCCUGCGCAGAUGGUACUGCAAUUUGUGGGAGAGUAUGUCGUCGCCUUUC